rfam:Ixodes scapularis strain Wikel colony gcontig_1108378983766, whole genome shotgun sequence.
GCACUCGUGGCCGAGUGGUUAAGGGGAUGGACUAGAAAUCCAUUGGAGUCUCCCCGCACAGGUUCGAAUCCUGUCGACUGCG